GAUGAACGCUGGCGGCGUGCCUAAUACAUGCAAGUCGAGCGAACAGACUAGGAGCUUGCUCCUCUGACGUUAGCGGCGGACGGGUGAUUAACACGUGGAUAACCUACCUAUAAGACUGGGAUAACUUCGGGAAACCGGAGCUAAUACCGGAUAAUAUAUUGAACCGCAUGGUUCAAUAGUGAAAGACGGUUUUGCUGUCACUUAUAGAUGGAUCUGCGCCACAUUAGCUAGUUGGUAAGGUAACGGCUUACCAAGGCGACGAUGCGUAGCCGACCUGAGAGGGUGAUCGGCCACACUGGCACUAAGACACGGUCCAGACUCAUACGAGAGGCAGCAGUAGGGAAUCUUCCGCAAUAGGCGAAAGCCUGACGGAGCAACGCCGCGUGAGUGAUGAAGGUCUUCGGAUCGUAAAACUCUGUUAUUAGGGAAGAACAAAUGUGUAAGUAACUAUGCACGUCUUGACGGUACCUAAUCAGAAAGCCACGGAUAACUACGUG
rnacentral:rRNA from 1 species